GCAGGGGUACCCGAGCAUGGUCUAAGGGGUAGGGCUUAGGACCCUAUGACGCAGGUCUCCGAGCGUUCAAAUCGCUCCCCCUGCA
rnacentral:tRNA from 1 species